GUUGUCGUGGCCGAGUGGUUAAGGAGAUGAAUAUAAAUCUUUUGGGAUCUUCCCGCGCAGGUUCGAAUCCUGCCACAUCG
rnacentral:tRNA from 1 species